UAAUAAUAAUAAUCAUAAAAAUACAUGUUUGAAACUGGAAAAGGGAUUUUUUACAUUAAUUUUUUUAUAGAUGUUGGAAAAGAAAGGAGUAAAAGCAAGGUGUGGAGUUAUUUUGAUUUCACACACUUAAAUAUAGUGUUAAUAUGUAUAUUUAAUUUAAUAUCAUCUUUUACUUUUUUUAUCUAAAAAGUUUUGUGUGUUUAUUUUAAUUUUUUUUUUGUUUGCUUAUAAGUUAAAUGUUCUUAAAUAUAGAAACUUUAAUAAAAUAUAAGUUUUUCAAAUUGGUUUGAAAAUGUUGCACUUUUUGACAAAAUAUCGGUCAAAACAUCGGUAAUCGGUGGGCUAGGACUCCCCAAAAUCGGGAUUGGCACCGGACCCAAAAAUCUGGCAUCGGUCGGGCUCUAUUAUGUACUGUUGGCCAUGCUCAAUUUUUGUCAUCUCCCUUCACAACAGGUGAAAAGAAAACAAUUGCAUCAUACAAAGACAGCGUGCAGCACAGCAUGCAGCAUAACAAUGUCUGAUAUAAGUGAGAGCAUCAAGGCGCAGUCAUUUCUGUCCUGCCAAGUGUGCCAGAAGAAACGAUCUUACACCAGGGAGUGGAAAGCAAAGAUGACUUGCAGUACAUAAGAGAACAGGAAAUUGCAGAGGUUAUUCGACCAAUUCAGUGCAGAAAACUUUUAAAUGCAUGGAAAUGAGCAGGUUUCUGCCUCUGCUGCUGACGUUGAGAGGUCCUUAACUUUGCCUGACAGUCCUCGAUUGAUUGUUCUCGGUAUGCAUGUAACUCGCCUCCGCAGGCGAGGACCC